UGCAGUCGAGCGGACCAAAGAAGAGCUUGCUCUUCGGCGGUUAGCGGCGGACGGGUGAGUAACACGUAGGCAACCUGCCUGUACGACUGGGAUAACUCCGGGAAACCGGAGCUAAUACCGGAUACGUUUUUCAGACCGCAUGGUCUGAAAGGGAAAGACCUUUGGUCACGUACAGAUGGGCCUGCGGCGCAUUAGCUAGUUGGUGGGGUAACGGCCUACCAAGGCGACGAUGCGUAGCCGACCUGAGAGGGUGAUCGGCCACACUGGGACUGAGACACGGCCCAGACUCCUACGGGAGGCAGCAGUAGGGAAUCUUCCGCAAUGGACGAAAGUCUGACGGAGCAACGCCGCGUGAACGAUGAAGGUUUUCGGAUCGUAAAGUUCUGUUGUUAGGGAAGAACCGCCGGGAUGACCUCCCGGUCUGACGGUACCUAACGAGAAAGCCCCGGCUAACUACGUGCCAGCAGCCGCGGUAAUACGUAGGGGGCAAGCGUUGUCCGGAAUUAUUGGGCGUAAAGCGCGCGCAGGCGGCUUCUUAAGUCAGGUGUGAAAGCCCACGGCUCAACCGUGGAGGGCCACUUGAAACUGGGAGGCUUGAGUGCAGGAGAGGAGAGCGGAAUUCCACGUGUAGCGGUGAAAUGCGUAGAGAUGUGGAGGAACACCCGUGGCGAAGGCGGCUCUCUGGCCUGUAACUGACGCUGAGGCGCGAAAGCGUGGGGAGCGAACAGGAUUAGAUACCCUGGUAGUCCACGCCGUAAACGUUGAGUGCU
rnacentral:rRNA from 1 species